CAACCUCCCAAGUCUCCCCCCAAAGGGAGGCCCCACCUCUCCUCCCUCCUUCUCUCUCUCUCUAAAUACGCCGUUUUCUCUCUCUUCUGCUCCUCCUGCUGCGGCGGCGGCGGCGGCGAUGGCGAUCUCGUCGAGAAACGACCGGCCGAGCGGCCCGGUCCUCCGAUCGCUCUCCUACGGCCGGUUCGACUCGCUCACCGCUAGAGCCUCGACGGCCAUCGAGUCGUCGGCGUCGUCGCUCUCGGCGAUGGCCGCCGAUUUCGCGAUGAGCUCCGGCCUCUACUCCCGAUCCUCCACCUUCUUCGGCCAGCGGCCGUCCUCCCCCACGCGCGUCAACCUGUCGUCCUCGCCGCCGCAGCAGCUCCUCCUCCUCCUCCUCCUCCUCCUCCGUCCGCUUCUCCAUCGACCGUCCGGCGUCGCCCAAGCAAUCGUUCGCCGCCUCGCCCCGCCAGCCGGUGAUCCACCGCCGGGGGAACUCGAACAAGCAGAGUUGCAUGUGCUCGCCGACGACGCACCCCGGCUCGUUCCGCUGCAGCCUGCACAAGCACUCGGGGAGCGGCGGCGGCGGCGGCGGCGGAGGGAACGGUCACUCGGACUCGUUCGUGCCAAACCGGUUGAUCAUGCUGAGAUCGGCGAUGAGGAACAGGAUCGUCAGCAUCGGAGGCGUGGAGGGAGACCUGAUGAUUAGAGCUCUGACGGCUCUGAUUCGUCCAUCCUCGCACCAGCAGAAGCGGCGAGCCGCAUUCCAGUCGAGGCCGAGCCGGCUCUCGGCGAUGUCCAAGGCAGGGGAUCUCUGAUCAGGGCGAGUUUCGCGUGCCUGCGCUGGUGAUUUUUUUGCGUGUGAAGCUCCGGGACCGAGUCAACUCAGGCGAGCCUUGGCUACGACCGGGAGCUGCUGAAUCGGCUUCUCGACGGAUCGAUCAGCUUCGUUCGACUUUGAAGAAAGCGGCGGAGGUCGCCCGCCGCGAGAGCUGACUCUUGCUUGUACAUAAUAAUUUUCAGGCCAUUUUGACGGCCGUCGAGGAACAAAAGUUUUGGACGUUUGCCUUUGCCUGUGAAUUCAGAACUCUCACGAAUUCCAAAGCGCGGUCCGCAACUUCGACUCUAACCUGAAUCCGAAUCAAUUUCUAAUCUAAUCGACCAACCAACCUGCUAAAAAAGCUUUAGGUCUGGAACCGUUUUAGGUGUGGAACCGUUUUGGCCAAGAGCCGUGACGUCUGGUCCAUGUUCCCGUCGUCUUGCUUCCAACGGCGAUGUCGUCGUCCGUCACCUGCCCCGUUGAUUUCUCCGCCACGUUCCAUCGUCGUCGUCCUGUUCAAUUAAGGUACAUCGGUGUAUUCUUGCCGAGUAAUUUCGUUGCCUUUUCUUCUCAAUGUUGUUGUUAUUAUAAUAAUAACUAUUAUUAUUAUUAUUAUUAUUAUUAUUAUUAUUAUUAUUAUUAUUAUUAUUAUUAUAAUGUAUUUUUUGCUGGUGCAGGUAUGAUGAUAUUUUGUAGGACUUCGCCACCUAGAUUUUCGGCCCGAAUAUAAUUAAUAAGAUUACGAUUAAAAAAGGAAAAUAUCAGGAGCCGAAACGGAGAAAAUUGGGGAGAGGGUUUCCACCCACUUGGCAAUAGUGGAAACGGAAUAAAUCGAAUCCGAUCCGUUGACAUUCGAAGGCCCAAAAAACGAAGCCAGCUGGCGUCACACUGCUUUGAUUAAUUCCAAAUGGAGGAGUAAUAUUGGAACGCUCCACACGUUUUGAGGGUCCGUUGUAGGUAUUAAUUAUAUCGAGAGAGGAAAAGGAAGAAAAAUUCAGGCUUUGGACCGUCCCUCGCGUGGCGGAGGAAUGAUUCUUCUUGACCCCUUCUAAGGUUGUGCGGUCCUGGAGAGACCCCCAAUUCGGUAAAGAUCCGGAUAUUUGAUAUUAUAAUUUGAUCUAUGAAGUUUGCAAGCUAUGUCAAUUACCAUGGAAUGUCCGAGUUUUGACUAGCAAGCAAUUGAAAUUAGCAAUUUGAAAGUAACUGUAGGAUUUUGAGAUCAUGUUAUUCUUUUGUUCGGUUCAAUGCUAUAUAAGAUAUGAUUUGACUGAGCAAUAGACAUUCGAAAGCGUGAAGAGGCAAAAAGUGAGGAAGGCACGACGCGCGGAGUUGGGGCAAGAAGGUCAGUGAUUGGUGCAGGGGAAUGCGGGGCACGAUUGCGAUCUUGGUCAAAAAGGCGGCUCCAAUCUCCAUGGUCCGGAGCCCCCGGGGGUAGCCGUUGAUCUUCAACCGGGCCUGUCAUGCUGACGAAUCUCAUGACCCAACUGAUUGCCAGACGUCGAGUUGAACAUGUAGAAAUAGAAAUCCGAUCGACAGCUUUGAAUCGUACGAGCCCGAUAAAUGACCCGAGAAAAUAUCAAGUGCGUCUCACGCUCCAGCCUAGCAAACAAGAAGGCGGUGAGAGUGCGACACGUGUCCUCGUGAGACCCAUAUUUUGGAAAAGAAAAAGAGGCGCAAAUUCGAAAAAUUUCAGUCGUGGUUUUCUUUCUUCAUGUCUCUCUUUCUCUUUCUCUCUGCUCGCGCUCUCUGUCCGACGAACUCCCCUCUCUCUCCCCUCCCUCUUUCCGACCGGCGAACCACCGCCAACAGAUGAUGAACCACCGCACUGGACCGAUGAGAGGACCGCGAGACCUAGCUCCCUCCCUUUGCCCUCCCUCUUUCUGACCGGCGAACCACCGCACGGGACCGGCGAGAGGAUCGCGACCUUCCUCUCUCUUUGCCCUUCCUCUUUCCGACCGGCGAACCACCAGCAUGGGACCGGCGAGAGGACCGCGAGCAAUCGACGAACCAUUGCACGAGACUGGCGAGAGAACCGCAACCUCCCUCUCUCUCUACCCUCACUUUUUCCGACCUGCGAACCACCGCGAGCAAAUCAAAUGUUUUUGUAGAGAUCUCCCAUUGUCGCCUUCAUCUUCUUUUCCCCUUUUUUUUUUUGUUUUGUUGUUUGUUUUCCCUAGUGCUCUGAUGGUGGAUCUGGAGUUGCAUAUGGAGGACGACAUGAUGUCUCACAUCAACCUUGACGGCUUCUUCAGUGACCUCCCUGAGACCGACGACAUCAUCAGGCGACGUCAUCAGUGCUUGCUCCUCGACGAACGUGUCGUCGUCGUCUCCAGACUUGGGGCUCUUAUGUUUCGACGAGAUAGAGAACAUCUUGAUGAAGACAACGAGGACGGCGGAGUUGUCGGUGGCGGGAUUAGGGCUGGUUGUUUUGUUCCCUAAAACUUAUGGAGUAAGACAUGGGUUUCUCAAUAAGAUAAAUUCUUUUGAUUACAUGAUGUGAUGGACUCCUCUGAAAAACAUUGGCGCACGUGUAAACGAGGUGCUCUACCUAACUGAGCUAUAGCCCUUGUGUUUAUGAUACAUAUUUUAUCAUAUUAUGUGCCACAUGGAUAGUUCAAUGUGCUCAUCAGCACCUGACCCUGGGAUGUGGAUCAUCCAAGGCACAUUAGCAUGGGUAUUUCUGCUUGUCGUGUCCUUUAUAUGGAAAUCAAAGAACAGGGGGCCGUUCCCUUGACGCGUACUGAUGAGAAUUUGACUCCACGUGAAAUUGAGCAAAAAGCCGCCGAAUUGGCCUAUUUCUUGUGCGUACCGAUUGAAGUAUUUUGAAAUGAGCUUGAACUGAAGAAGAAAUUCUUUCCCAGCGGCAGGGAAAAAAUUCAAGAAUUCUCUGUUCUUUCUUCAGCAUAGCAUAGCUUAAUAAAAAAUUUUCAGAACGUUCAUUCGAGCUAAAGUAUACAUAUAUGGAACAUCCAUAAAACGAAAUUUUUUUUGUAUGCAUAAAAAAGAAUUUAUGCGUAUGGAAAUCCACUCAACUCAAUUUACUAACAAACAAGUAAAAGUAACAAAUCGAAAUAAAAUAAUAGAUUCAUCUCGUAUAUCAAAACAUUUCAGAAUAAAGGAUUUCUCUUUUUAUUUUCAAUAUGAAUUGAUAGGUUAGAUACAAAUAGAUCAUAUCUUGGAAAUUCUCUCUCCUUUCUUUUGUCAAUCGACUUUUUUUUUUUUUUUUAAUCUUUUCUUUUGUUUUUCUUAAUGAUCAAAGGCAAAAGAUUGCUUGGAUCUCUUAUAAGGAUAACUUUUCUGUCUUGUUUUGCCACUCAUUUUUGAUCAUUACAUUAGGUUUUGAAUUUAUGAUCGGUAGAUCACAAUAUUCUUAAUAAAUCUCUCUCCAUUUUUCCUGGACUAGAACUGUUGGUGGCGGGAUUAGGGCUGGUUCGAGCCAGGCGUUCUGCGAUAGGUUCUUGCAUUUUCCAGGUUCUUCUCCAAAUCCGCUCCGUGUGCGGGUAGCUGCUGAGAGAAGCAUUUGGAGAGCAAAAGGUCUGUUUUUUCUUCGUGCUGGUUAGCUGAAUGAGGUAGAGAAAUAUGUGCUUCGAGAUGGGUUUUUGCAUUAUAUCGUGUUUGGAGCUAAGUAACUUAUGAUGGGUCUGUUUGUGAUAAGGGGUAAGUGAGCUUAAUCACAGUGACAAGAGAAAAGUGUUUUGGGCGAUGGACAGGGGUGGUUGCGCCGUGCAUUGUUGCCGUGCCAUGUAUAGUUUAUGUUAGCUAAAGCGGCUGUGAGUAGUCCAACGAGUUGAUUCUAAUGCAAUUAGUUUUUAGUCUUCAAGAUGAGUGGUUCCAUGGCUUUGGUGUGAUGUCCUGCCAUGUCUGUGUAGCUGUAGGUUCAAAGGAGGUUUGGUAUUGUUUUCACUUUAUGCUGGAGUGAAUGACAUCCGGUGCUCUAGAAAUCUUCAUUUGGUCAAAGCAAAAGUUUGUAAUCAUGCCGAUUCAACCACGAGUUGCAGGCCUAACGACAUGUCUUUUUCCGCAUUAUUUUGUGCAACGAAGGUUGGGAUACUGGAGUUUUUUUGCAGGGUAUUGGCUGAGGGGUCAAAGCCCGUGUUGCCAAGCUCGAGUUUGAGAUUGGCAACUUCAAUAGGUUACUUGUUUCCCGCAUGCUUAAGCUCAAGAAACUAGCGCGCAUGACAACGCUUCUUAGCUGGGGAAGAGUUUUUAUUUUUCAGAAAUAGUUCUUUUUUAUUUCUAUUCCGGGGAACAAUUUAUGAGUAAAAGAACCCAUUUGGUAAUUACUUAAAAUUUCUACUCUUGGAAUAGAAAAAGAAUAAAAAUGCGUUUGGUAACGCAACAGUUUCUUUUUUUUUAUUAUAUUUAUUAGUUUUUUAUUCUUGUUCAUGCAUCGCCGCCCGGCAACCACUGCUCGUCGCCGCUGUCGAUUGCCGCUCGUUGCCGCUGCUACACGAUCGCCGGCAACUGACUGUCAUCAUCGACUGCCGCUGCACAGCCCGUCGGCCGUUGACGAUUGCCGGCCACCGACGACCACGACGGCGGUCGCGGUCAGGGGCGGCAGGCGGUGGUGGCGGCAGGUGACUGGCAGCGAGCAGCGACAGCGGCGGCUGCGGUGAGCAGCAGCCGGCAGUGGUGUCGCGACCUCUUUUUUCGGCACCCGCGAUCGGGUAUGAGCGCCUAAGGAGGCUAAUGGCUCGGCUGAAUUUAUUAAGCCCAGACUCUCCCAAGUCCACAAAUUCACGACUUUAAUAGUUUGAGUUUUUAACCUAUAAAUCAAUUUUUAAAAUGGAGUCGCUACUAAUCGAUUUGGAGUGGGUCGAUUAGAAAUCCAAGCGAAGUAUCGAGAGAAAUACUUGCUCCUGCGCAACCAGAGAAAUUAGGAUCGGGGACUUGAUUACACUAGUUAAUCACUAAUGCCCUUUCGGUACCUAAUCUUGUUUAAACCCUAAGGCUUUUUGGAUGUUUGAGAGAUUUUCCAUGCAUUUUUGGGAGGAAAAACAUUUUUUGAGUCAUUUUCUAAUUUUUUGGACACAAAAGGGAUUUUUUUGGAUUUUUUUGGAAAAAUACAAGUCUUUUUGGCUUUUUCUGAAUUUUUGGCUUUUUUUGGAAAAUAUGAAAUAUUUUUGAUUUUUUUUGAUUUUUUGAAAAAUAAAAUAUUUUUUAAUAUUUUUUUGAUAUUUUUGGAAAAUAAAUUAUUUUUUGAUUUUUCUCGGUUUUUUUUAAUAAAACAUUUUUUCUACAUUUUUUAAAAUAUUUUUUCGAUUUUCUGAAAAUUAAAACAUUUUUUAAUAUUUUUUGAAAAUAAAACACUUUUGAUAAAAUAUUUAUUUUUUUUAUUUAUUAUAAUAUUAUUUUAUAUUAAGAUAAUAAAAUAAAACCGACCCGGGUCGGAUCCGCGGGUUGGGUCCGACUUGGGUCAACCCUAAAACGCAGACGGGCCCGCUACGUGGGCCCGACUUUUUUUAUUUUAAAAACGACGCUGUGGCCGGGCGUUUAGAGACGCCCGGCCCGGCCCGACGACCCGACUCCACAACCCGCUCCCUGGCGAAACCCUACCCGACCCGGCUCCAGCACCCGACCCGACUCCCCCGCUCGCGGAUUGCGAACCCUACCCGAUUUUCCGGGUCCGGAUUUGCUUCGCGACCCGGAAAAUCGCAAACCCUAGGGUUUGCGAAUCCGCGGCGCCGGAGACGGAAACCAGGGCAUUUCGGCGGCGACGGUGACUAUGGUAGCGGCGGCGGCGACGAGAACGGGACAAUGGAGAGGGCUACCUGGUCAAGACCGGCCACCGUGCACGGCAGAGACGGCAACGACGUCGCACGGCGCUCGACGCCCUUUCGCCUUCCCCGAGCUCGAUCUCCCCCUCUCUCUCCCGAUCCACUCCUCCGGCCACGCCUCAGAUUUCCGGCCACGAGCCCUCGGACCCCCUGAAGUCUCUUAGUGGGUCGUCCGAGGUCUGCGACCUCAAUCCGCUUCUCUCUCUCUCUCGAGUUCUCGCAGAUCUGGGUUCGCUCACCGCCGGCCUCCCCUGAAGUCUCUCGGAGGGAGGUCGUUGAGCUCGCGACCCGACCGCUUCGCCCUUGCUCGCUCUUUGAGUUCCCCGAAGUCUCUCAGGGGAUCUCUCGGAGCUCGCAGGCCUCUCUCUCUCGCUCGCUCUUCAACCUCCUCCGAAGUCUCUCAGGAGGAAGUUUCCAAGCUCGCGAUCUUCUCCGGUGUCCCCUUCGAUGACGGAAAUGCUCCGUUAUUUAUAGGCGAGGAGGUCCGGUCGACAGAGAGGCUCGGCCGCCGGUCUUUGGCUUGCCGAAUGGACCCCCGUGGCCGAACCGGCAUCCCAUCCGCCACCUGUCCGCCAGCUGCACCCCCCCUUCUCACGUGCGUUGCCGUUCGUCCGCUCAUCCAGCAUCGCGCCCUCUGCGCGUGCGUUGCAGAGCGGACGAAGGAGGAAGAAGACCGAAAAGGGCUGGGCUGGAGGAGAAAGAAAGUGGGCCGUAGAGGCCCAUGCGGAGGGGGAAGAGAGGGAGAGAAUGGGCUGUUUUAUUUUUUGUUUUUUUUGUGUUUUAUUUGGUUUUUGUCUUAUUUAUCCGAAAUAAAAACUUAAUAAAAUUAACCUACUUAAAAUUGAGGUGUCAACAGCUGCCCCUCUUUGAAGGUGAGCUCGCAGAGGUUGCAUUCAAAGACAGACUAAUACCUCAAUUUUAUCCAUGCAUGCGUAGUAGAUUAUAUUUUACUUGGAACCUAUUAUUCUACGCAAAAAGGGCAAUGUAACAUUACAUAUACUAAGACAGAUAAGAAGAUACCUGUAGCUACUUACCGGGAGUGAGUGAGAUAGGGUGUGAACCCCGAGUUUGGCAAGUAUCAAGGCGUCAUCUUACCUGGUGAUAUGAGGAGGUUGCUUUUCCAGGGCUCGAACCAUUCUUCGGUCGCCUGUUAAAACAAUCAAUGGUUUGUCUAGGACCCGAACCUUUCUUCGGUCGCCUUGACGGGAGAUUACUCCUCCAGGACCUGAACCAUUCUUCGGUCGCCUAUUGGAGUAGUCAGUGGUUUGUCUCGGACCCGAACCAUUCUUCGGUCGCCAUGACGGGAGACUGCUCUUCCAGGACCCGAACCAUUCUUCGUUCGCCUGUUAAAACAAUCAAUGAUUUGUCUAGGACCCGAACCUUUCUUCGGUCGCCUUGACGGGAGAUGCAUCGACCUUUCUCAGAGCAUCUGUUUUGUUGGGGUGUCUGACUUCUGUCAAAGACACUGGUUGGAACCCGACCUUUCUCGGGAGGAUGCACCGACCUUUCUCAAGGCAUCGAUUUGUGGGCCUCUGACUUCUGUCGAAGACACCAGUUGGAACCCGACCUUUCUUGGGAGGAUGCGCCGACCUUUUUCAGGGCAUCGAUUUGUGGGGCGUCUGACUUCUGUCGAAGACACAGUUGAAACUCGACCUUUCUCGGGAGGAUGCGCCNNNNNNNNNNNNNNNNNNNNNNNNNNNNNNNNNNNNNNNNNNNNNNNNNNNNNNNNNNNNNNNNNNNNNNNNNNNNNNNNNNNNNNNNNNNNNNNNNNNNNNNNNNNNNNNNNNNNNNNNNNNNNNNNNNNNNNNNNNNNNNNNNNNNNNNNNNNNNNNNNNNNNNNNNNNNNNNNNNNNNNNNNNNNNNNNNNNNNNNNNNNNNNNNNNNNNNNNNNNNNNNNNNNNNNNNNNNNNNNNNNNNNNNNNNNNNNNNNNNNNNNNNNNNNNNNNNNNNNNNNNNNNNNNNNNNNNNNNNNNNNNNNNNNNNNNNNNNNNNNNNNNNNNNNNNNNNNNNNNNNNNNNNNNNNNNNNNNNNNNNNNNNNNNNNNNNNNNNNNNNNNNNNNNNNNNNNNNNNNNNNNNNNNNNNNNNNNNNNNNNNNNNNNNNNNNNNNNNNNNNNNNNNNNNNNNNNNNNNNNNNNNNNNNNNNNNNNNNNNNNNNNNNNNNNNNNNNNNNNNNNNNNNNNNNNNNNNNNNNNNNNNNNNNNNNNNNNNNNNNNNNNNNNNNNNNNNNNNNNNNNNNNNNNNNNNNNNNNNNNNNNNNNNNNNNNNNNNNNNNNNNNNNNNNNNNNNNNNNNNNNNNNNNNNNNNNNNNNNNNNNNNNNNNNNNNNNNNNNNNNNNNNNNNNNNNNNNNNNNNNNNNNNNNNNNNNNNNNNNNNNNNNNNNNNNNNNNNNNNNNNNNNNNNNNNNNNNNNNNNNNNNNNNNNNNNNNNNNNNNNNNNNNNNNNNNNNNNNNNNNNNNNNNNNNNNNNNNNNNNNNNNNNNNNNNNNNNNNNNNNNNNNNNNNNNNNNNNNNNNNNNNNNNNNNNNNNNNNNNNNNNNNNNNNNNNNNNNNNNNNNNNNNNNNNNNNNNNNNNNNNNNNNNNNNNNNNNNNNNNNNNNNNNNNNNNNNNNNNNNNNNNNNNNNNNNNNNNNNNNNNNNNNNNNNNNNNNNNNNNNNNNNNNNNNNNNNNNNNNNNNNNNNNNNNNNNNNNNNNNNNNNNNNNNNNNNNNNNNNNNNNNNNNNNNNNNNNNNNNNNNNNNNNNNNNNNNNNNNNNNNNNNNNNNNNNNNNNNNNNNNNNNNNNNNNNNNNNNNNNNNNNNNNNNNAAUAUCGAGGACGUGCCUCGCAUAUUCGUGAAGGUUUCUCACCUCCUGGUAAAGGGGAAUCUUGAGGACGUACUUAGAUAUUCAUGAAGGUCUCUCACCUCCUAGUAAUUGGGAAUAUUGAGGACGUGCCCCGCAUAUUCAUGAAGGUUUCUCACCUCCUGCUAACAUAAACUUGAAUGUAGCAUGAGGCUUACCUGGAUGACCAUAGGCACUUAAAAGGGGUGGAACACCUGGAUAGCCACAAGUGUACAAAGUACUGGAAUACUUGGAUGAACACAAGUAUUUAAUGAUAUGAUCUGGGACCGCUCAGUUGGUCCAAGUCUAAGAAAGCAUACUUGGGUAGGCGUAGGCACACAAAGUAGUGGAAUGCUUGAACAACUGCUAUUAUUUGGGGACAACUUGGGCAAGUUGAGUGUCAUGAAAAGGAAGUACCUAGACAACGGUGGGUACUUUGACGAUAUGGGGAUACCUAGACAGCAGUAGGUAUUCCAAGAGAUACUUGGUUAGUCACAAGUAUCAAUAUUCUGGGGACAACUCGGACAAGUCGAGUGUCAGGAAAAGGGAGUAUCCGGACGGUGGCCGGUACUCAAAGACAAUAGAGAUACCUAGACAGUAGUAGGUAUUCAACGAUAAAGGGAUACUUGGUCAAUCACAAGUAUCAAUACUCUUGGGACAACUCAAAUAGGUCGAGUGUCAAGAAAAGUGAGUAUCCAGACGGUGGUCGGUACUCAAAGACAAUGGGAUGCUAAGACAGCAGUAAGCAUCGAAACUCAAGGGACAACUCGAAUAGGUCGAGUGUCAAGAAGAGAGUACCUAGACAGUGGGAGGUACCUGAAAAUAAAGGGAUACCUGAACAGUCGCAAGUAUCAAUACUCUGAGGACAACUCGGACAGGUCGAGUGUCAAGAAGAGAGUACCUGGACAGUGAUAGGUACCUUAAGACAAAUGGGGAUAGAGAUAUGCUUACCUGGCAAUAUCUCCGCUCUCUGAGAGUAUGUGUGCUAUUUGCACAAUAUGCACACAUGAUUGUAUAUGCUAUAAAUUCAUGAGUUCAAAUGAGAUUCAUGCAUGAUAAUUUUGUCAGUUUUGCAUCUUUUGAUUUCCACUGGGGAAGAUUUUGAAAAACAACCUUUAUUUAGAAUGUAGAUGUCUUGAGCAUGCCAGAUGAGGGACUUUCAGUCUGAAAGGACUUUUUCGCUCACUCUCAUGGAAAAGGCUAUCCUGACCAUUGAUGCAGGAUUUAUAAGGACCACACUAUCUCACUGUCAUCAUGUUAGCAGGGGUCCGAAUAUUCUCGCAAACAGUACGACUUUACCAAUGUGAGAGGUCUUUGUUGAAACUGUGAUGAAGUCUUGGUCAGCGGCUCAUCAGAGGGGACCAUCAAGGUCGAAGCUGAUGGACGAAAAUGUCGCACGAUCAUCUCCGGGUUUACAAGUCAAGAACCUUGCGAAAAGAGAUAGAGUAAUCUUGCUCGUACUUCUUUGAGCGAUACUUAUGCACAUAUGAAAUCCUACGUUAAUUGAAGUGCCCCUAGUCUGAAGAGACUUUUACAAUGGGAUGCAACGUAGGCUUGAUUCAUGUGUAAAAAGGUAGAGCUGGUGAUUGCCUUGGCAUUUGUCACCAGUCUUUCUUCUCAUUGUCAAAUGGAGGUUCUAUGGACCACAACAACAACAUUUUCUUGGCUGCAUUUUUGACUGGGGGGAUUGGCCUUGCUUUUACCAGGCACACUGCUUUUUCAUGCCCCUAUUUUUAUUCCAGUUCUUCUUUUAUGGACAUUGACCUUGCUCUUGCCAAGUACACUGCUUUUUUAUGCCCCUGUUUUUUCAUUCUUUGUCGUUAGAGGAACUAGCCUAGGCAAGCUCAAUCACGACACUGUUGUUAGACUCUUGAGUCUUCGUCUUCAGCUAGUGCUCCGAGCUAUGCUGUUUAAAUGGCAGUAACUUCUGUUUUGCCUCCAUGUGAGGGUGAAUUUACAGACUUUUGAGUUGUACAAUAGAUACAAGUGUGUAGAGAAAGAAUUGCUCUUCGUCAUUCUAGGGCACUUAAAUUAACGCGAGUGUUCAUAUGCAAUAAAGACACUUGAAGAUUGAUGCAAGUGCAAGCAAUAAAAUUUCUAUCCCCUUUCUCACUUUGUGAUGCCGACUUGUUUUCGACUUGCCCCAGUGUGGGGUGGUUCUUUGACGGGGAUAUGAGAUAAGCUUCACCAGUGUAUGGGGCUUAAUGGGGUGAGCAAUGAAAUGCCUCUCACUGUUUUGGUUAUCGUACCAUUCGCGAGAGAACUCUUUACCCUGCAGCCAUGGAAUUUUCUGCACUCAUCUCACAAGUGUAUAGAUGGGGGGAACUGUGUGUAGGAUAUGGCUUGCCUUUCAUCAUUCUGACGUGCCUCACCCAGCAUGCUCAAUUAAUCUUGUAUUCUUCAUUUAGCUGUCUAUUCUAAUAAUUCUCAAUGGAAUCAGUGAUUUAGACAGACAAAAUCAUCAUGCAGAAUUCAUCUGGAAAUGACAUGCAACAUUUUGAAUAUGAUGGAGUUUAAACUUUUCAAAACAAGUGAAUGGUUUUGACUCAAAAAAGACCCUAUUGACAACUUUAGGGGCUAACGUAAUGGUCUUUCCAAAUAUGUUAGAUUUUGAACAUCAAAAGGGUUAUUUGCAAUGGAUGUCGAUGGUUGUCCCUAUUGAUUAGGGAUAUGACAUAUGAAUGAUCAGUCGGGGUUAGGAAUCUGAUCGGGCAUCUCUGCUUUUGCCCCUGCAGAAGAGAAGAUGUACAAGUAGAUCAAUUAGUCUGGCCAAAAUCAAAUGUGAGUUGAGGCCCGAAGGAUCUCUGUCAUUUGUUUUGGUAGUACUUGAGACGCCAUUUUGCUUAGGAGAGUUUGUCAUGCCUUUCAUUGAUUUGUUAUCCUUGUUUUUGACAAUCAAGUGAUCCUGCAACAAGAUAUGCUUCUCACUGAUUUGUUAUCCUUGCUUUUGGCAGUCAGGUGAUCCUGCAACAAACAAGAGGGAAUGUGUUAGUCAUGAACUCUUUCAAGAGUCGAAUAACUGGAAUCGAUACAACUUUACCCUUCACUGGUUUGCAGAUGAUUGGUUGAACCUGAAAUGAGAGGGGGACACGAAGUCCUAUGUCCCUUGCUUUGUUAAGUCAAUUAUUCUUUGAAUUGGCUCCUGGAUGACAUGUCUUUUUACACGAAGCCAAGUAAAUUUGAUGUAGGUCAUUUCCAUGUACUAGCUUGGCCAAUAUUGGUUUGCCUAACCAUCAAAUUUGGCUCUUGAAUCCUGGUGCUUCCUGCCAAUAGGGGGAAUAUGUCAAAAGUGAAUUCAAAGAGGGGGGAGUAUUGGAAACGAUACCAAAUUACUCUUCCCCAAAGUUUGUAUUUGCUGACUCCUGAUGAUGUUUGAAUGUCGAUGAUAGCCUUUUCGUCUUGGCAUAAUUUGACAUUUCUUUCGAUUGGCCUUCCUCACUUGUGACCAUGUAUGCAUGAUUGCUGGUCAUUGAUUCAUCUUCAAUGCCUUCCUUCUGUGGAAUUUCUCCUUCUAUAGCAUCAUUGGGCAAAAGUCAUGUACCUCAAGCUUCUAUGGAAUCUGAGAUGGAAAGUCUCAAGCUUUCUGAUGGCAAUUACGCGUCUGGGGUGAAGUUUCUAGAUUCCAACAUCAUUGUCCAGGAUGUGGGGCUAUAGAUCGCUUUGACUGUCUAGAUUUUCUUCCUGUUGACAGUAAUCACUUUAAAGGAAGAGAAGCAAAUCCUUCUUUGUGCUUCUUGGCUCGUUGAAGCUGGAAGUCCUGUCAAUGAACUCGGGACAUCCUGCCUUGAGCAUUUUGAAACGUGAUGAUCCUUUCUGUUUGCCCCUGCUUUCUUGGCAAGGUGUCAUUGAAUUCGGUGAGUUCACAUAAUGUGCUUGCUUCAAAUGCCUCCUGUCGCACUAAGUCAAAGGGGACGAGAAUGAUCUUCUGAGACAUGAAGUGAGUGAGUCAGAAAGACAAACAUGAUUAAAUUUAUCAUUUUUUGUUUUUUGAAAGAUUUUGGUGAUGAAGUGUUUUUUGUUUUCAAAAUAUGUAUUCGGGGGAGAAAAAGCAUGAGGAAGCCCAGCCCUCAGUAUUCUCCUUGGAUGGUAUAUUUUUUCAUGGUUGGAUAGCAUCACCGGGCUGGUUUGGAGUACCGCCUCAUGCUCUUAAAACAAAAUAUUAUAACUGCACAAUACAGUACUUGGCAUGGAAAAAUUACAACAGUAGCACACUAGACAAGAUAAGAAACAUGGAAUUAUAAAAACAAGUAAAACCCAUGAAAACUCCUGUGUAAAUGAGUGCUUUGAUAGUGCUGGUCUUGAAGCUAAGCGUCUUUGAAUUCCUCGCCUUCAGUAGACUCGAAGUAUUCGCAUGCGAUGACUACUUCGUUGAAGUUACGGAAGUGUAACCCAUGCAGCCAACAGCGCUGCUUGCAGGACAAAACUUCUAUGAACUGCUUCAUUAACUCCUCUUCAGCCAGUUGAGGGUGGGUUUGCAUCAUGAAAGCCCUCUACCUCCCUGCGUAUGAUCGAAAAUCUUCCAUUGGUUUUCUUGUGAAGUGAGCCAAGCUCUCACAAGGCAGUUCAGUUCCAAUCUGGCUUUGGUACUGAUGUAAGAAUGUGGAAGUCAGCUCAUUCCAAUCCUUUAGAAGAUAAAUGUUGGCUGUGAUAAACCAUUGCAAUGCAGACCCCGUAAGAGUUUCUUGGAAUGCCUGAGUUGUGAACGACAUCGGGCCAUAGUACCGACUCAUUUCCGCAUGGAGAUACUGCAAGUGGGCCACGGGACAAGCUGUGCCGUUAUACUUGCGGAGAUUGGGUAUCCACAUUUCUAUGGGGCUCAUGAUCCUAUGAGGGCAAGACGGGCUUGAUGUAUCUUGGUUAGGCCAAUGGUUUUCCCACUGCAUAUCUGUUGUAGUGGUGAAUUUUUCUAUUUCAGGGAAGCUGGACUCUAUCGAGAUUACCCCAUUGCUUUCUUCCGGGUCAAAAUUUCAAAUGAGGAUGAAGUAUUGAAGCUAUCCUCAUGGUUAGAGGAAGAGCUUAGUACUUCGUUAGGAUCGUGGCGGAUAAAGACGUAUGCUUCCUCUUCUGACGGGCCUUCAUCCCUGGAUGAGAGUAGGAAAUAGUUAUACGAUGAAUCGUCAGUUUCAUUGUCAAAAUAAUGCUGGAAGUCCUUGGGGUUGUAUUCUAGGGCCGGGAAGUCUUCAGAGUUGUACUCUUGGGGAUGGUAGCCUUCAAAGCUGUUUUCUUGGGGAACGCUCGAAGCUUUGGUGCGGUGGCUCGUCAGUAGAUGCUGAAUUGAUCUGCUUAGGCUUUCUUUUCUUGGCCCUUGGUCCAGACUUUUGAGUAAGGCCCUGCGUUUCGCCAGCUCGAUUCUGUCAAGGGGGAGUGAAAGACACUAGAGCUUCACUAUCUGAUUCACUUCCCAAGUUGAUAGGGGUUGGUAUUCUUUGGACCCUAGCUCUUGGAGUAAGCUUGGGGAGUUGUCUUGUCGUGCCCCGGUCUUGAACAGGCUCUGUGUCUUGGAUCUCGUACAAAGGCUCCUUGCCUUUCCUAGUGGGAAAUUUCCCAGUAACAAGGUGUUGUUCAGCUGCCCAUUUAUCAUGCAAGGCUUCAUUGACAUACUCUUCUCCUAUCUCAGCGACUAACGGUUCCUUGUGCUCCGCGAUCAUCGGCUCUUCGUAGGGCAGGGUGAUGUCAAGAUUAUACUCUUGGUGAAAAACAUGAAUUAGUUCCCUCCAGGUUUUAAGGGGACUAAUCUUCCUGACAAUGUACCAUCGCAAGGCAGGGCCAGUCAAGCUCGAUUGGUACAAUUGAAUCAUCCUUCGAACCAGGUAGGCCUGUAAGUAAGUCUCUGGACGGGGGGUAUCAGCAUACCUUUCGCAUUCGAGAGCUUUGAGUUUUUCGGGGAUCUCAAUGCUGGCGUAAUUAGACAGGUCCAUGGGAUUCUGCCCCUGCAGCUGACUUAACUUUUUCAUGAUCUUUUCAAACUGUCUAUAGUACUGGCUAUUUUCUGGCAAAUUUACAGGUGUCAUGACGGUGUUUGAGGCAACUAUAGAGUUGGGCUCAGCUUGAGUGGAUUUCAUUUGUCUUGAGAGUUGUUGAAGGACAAUGGACAUCUAUCCUACGCCGUCUUCAAUGUUAAUAAGGCGAUUUUGUACAUCAUUCUGAUCGGGUCCUAUUGCAUGAGGCCAUUCACGAGCAAUUGGUGGUCGGCGAUUCAUAAUUACCUGUUCGUGUUGAAAACAAUGAAUGAGCACGACAGUAAACAAAGAUUGACCCAUGGCAAUGGUCUAACUGCUUUCUUAUUUAUCAAAAGAGGAUUUUAUAGACCGCAGACUUCUGACAUCUAGAACUUGAAAUUGAAAAGACAGAAUGAAAUACUAGACAUUAAACAAAAGUCCCUAAACAAUGGGACAAAACCUUCACAAUAUUAACACUAAGGGGCACAUGAUUGCUAAUUUAUAUGCGACGGGGAGCCUUGCUCUUGUGAGGUCGCCUGCUUCCUUGGGCUGGCUCUGAGGUGUGCAUCCAGUCCAUUCCCAAAUCCCUCUCCAUGAGCUCUGCUUGCUCGUGUUGGCUGCUCUCGCUGAUCGAGUGAGGGACUAAUGGCUUCCAUUUUUUCGGGAUGCGAUGGUUAUGGAUGUAGGACAUGGAGGCGUGGUGGGCUUUUUCUUCUCCCUCAAGCCCUUCAGGUACCACAAUCCUUUUGCGAUGGCAUCUGUUCCAGGUUUCCUCAGCGAUAGAAAUUUCGAAUGCAUAGUCACGGCUUGUGUUGAAAAGAACUGGAGGGAUCAUCCUCUUGAAAGGCGGUGGGAUCUCCUGAAGGGCUCCAUAUUGUCGUGCUACCCGAUACGGGUAAUAGGGAAUGGCGCCGGUGAGGCCGAGCAAUGGAAUUGGGCGGGUGCGUAUGUAAGCAAAGCGGGCCCUCUUUUCAUGGAACCAACCAGCACACCAUUGGAAUGCCUUAGGAGCUGGGUCUCUUAGGAAGCUUACCCAAUUUAAACAACUUUGAUUGGAAAUGUAUGGUCCUAGAACCAUAAAUUUUUGUAACGGAUUUUUGAAAGCAUUUGUUUCAGACGAUCGUAUGAAGUCUCGAAAUUCGCUUAGGUGAGAAAAGAAUCAGACUUGUAAAAUUUCAAGAGAGGCUCGCAUGAUUUUCUCCGAGUUGUCUUUAAAACGAUUAAAUGACAAGAAUGUUUCAGUUAAAAUCAUGUUGACAUAAUUCCCCCCUCUUAAGAUCUGAUCAACUAUCCAUGCCAUCUUGGGAGUUAUGGCAUUUCUUUGAUGGGGGAAGAUGAUGAGCCCGAAAAAGGCUAGCAGGAAAAUCUCACUUUUCUGGGUCAUAGGUUGAUUUUGGAAACAUGCAUUCAUAAAUUCCAGUGGGCAGGUAUUAUGAUUGUUUUCAAGAAUUUGCCUCAUGACGUGGAUUUCAAUUCCUAAAAGUCGCGCCAACCCGCGCCACGGGAGGGCGCCUGUCGAUGGUUUGACGAGCUUUUUCUCAAGAGGCAUUCCAGUGAUGAUGCUGUAUUCUUCUAGGGUUGGGGUUAGCUCAAACCUACCGAAUAUAAAAGUAAUUGUCUUCGGGCACCAAAAAUGUGCCAUGGCUUGUAUGACUUCAGGACGAACAGUGAUUUGAAUCAACGAUAGGAGAUGACUGACUUUGGCCUUCACGCGCUCUUGGGCAAACUGAUCUAACUGACCCCACCAUCUGAAGAGCUCCGCCUUGGGAGUAGGAAUGAACUGGAUAUCGUCUUUCCCCAUCGCAUAUAAACUGGGACUUGAAAAGUUUAUCCUAAAUUGCCAUGGGCCAAAUAAAAAGAAUGAGUAAAAGUAAAGAGAUUACUUUUGCUUUUUAAAGAAAAAUGGCAAGCACAAAGACAUGCGCGUGGGACGUGCGGCUCGAUUUCUAACUCAGAAGGCUUGGUGAGAUUAAAAGGAUAUCCGCCCGUCGCAGUCUCGCGUUAGCAGCAUAUCCUCCUAACCUCGGCUAAGAAAUUCGGGGAAAAGAAAGGCAACCUCUACAUCGCAGUCUCGCGUUCGAGGUCGUAUCUUUCUUAACACCAUCCUAGAAAUCUUAUGGCGGCCCAGGUCCGGCGGCCGGGUUGUGUGUGCCAUGUGUAGUGUUUAAAAUAGUAAAGCAUGCACAACAGUUUAUAAUCACAAAAACAUUUUAUUUUAACAGAAUAAAAAAACUUUAAGCUAUUACCCUGCAUAAAAGAAAAAAAACCAAGUCAGCAAAGCAUUUAAACAAAGAUAAAAUGGCCUAAGUCCUCAAAAGUCCCCAGCGGAGUCGCCAAGCUGUCGCGACCUCUUUUUUCUGCACUCGCGAUCGGGUACGAGCGCCUAAGAAGGCUAAUGGCUCGGCUGAAUUUAUUAAGCCCGGACUCUCCCAAGUCCACAAAUUCACGACUUUAAUAGUUUGAGUUUUUAACCUAUAAAUCAAUUUUUAAAAUGGAGUCGCCACUAAUCGAUUUGGAGUGGGUCGAUUAGAAACCAAGCGAAGUAUCGGGAGAAAUACUGGCUCCUGUGCAACCAGAGAAAUUAGGAUCGGGGACUUGAUUACACUAGUUAAUCACUAAUGCCCUUUCGGUACCUAAUCUUGUUUAAACCCUAAGGCUUUUUGGAUGUUUGAGAGAUUUUCCAUGCAUUUUUGGGAGGAAAAACAUUUUUUGAGUCAUUUUCUAAUUUUUUGGACACAAAAGGGAUUUUUUGGGGUUUUUUUUGGAAAAAUACAAGUCUUUUUGGCUUUUUAUGAAUUUUUGGCUUUUUUUGGAAAAUAUGAAAUAUUUUUGAUUUUUUUUUUUGAAAAAUAAAAUAUUUUUUAAUAUUUUUUUGAUAUUUUUGGAAAAUAAAUUAUUUUUUGAUUUUUCUCGGUUUUUUUUAAUAAAACAUUUUUUCGACAUUUUUUUAAAUAUUUUUUCGAUUUUCUGAAAAUUAAAACAUUUUUUAAUAUUUUUUGAAAAUAAAACACUUUUGAUAAAAUAUUUAUUUUUUAUUUAUUAUAAUAUUAUUUUAUAUUAAGAUAAUAAAAUAAAACCGACCUGGGUCGGAUCCGCGGGUUGGGUCCGACCCGGGUCAACCCUAAAACGCAGACGGGCCUGCUACGCGGGCCCGACUUUUUUUAUUUUAAAAACGACGCCGUGGCCGGGCGUUUAGAGACGCCCGGCCCGGCCCGACGACCCGACUCCACAACCCGCUCCCUGGCGAAACCCUACCCGACCCGGCUCCAUUACCCGACCCGACUCCCUCGCCUGCGGAUUGCGAACCCUACCCGAUUUUCCGGGUCCGGAUUCGCUUCGCGACCCGGAAAAUCGCAAACCCUAGGGUUUGCGAAUCCGCGGCGCCGGAGACGGAAACCCGGGCAUUUCGGCGGCGACGGUGACUAUGGUAGCGGUGGCGGCGACGAGAACGGGACAAUGGAGAGGGCUACCUGGUCAAGACCGGCCACCGUGCACGGCAGAGACGACAACGACGUCGCACGGUGCUCGACGCCCUUUCGCCUUCCCCGAGCUCGAUCUCCCCCUCUCUCUCCCGAUCCACUCCUCCGGCCACGCCUUAGAUUUCCGGCCACGAGCCCUCGGACCCCCUGAAGUCUCUCAGUGGGUCGUCCGAGGUCUGCGACCUCAAUCCGCUUCUCUCUCUCUCUCGAGUUCUCGCAGAUCUGGGUUCGCUCACCGCCGGCCUCCCCCGAAGUCUCUCGGAGGGAGGUUGUUGAGCUCGCGAUCCGAUCGCUUCGCCCUUGCUCGCUCUUUGAGUUCCCCGAAGUCUCUUAGGGGAUCUCUCGGAGCUCGCAGGCCUCUCUCUCUCGCUCGCUCUUCAACCUCCUCCAAAGUCUGUCAGGAGGAAGUUUCCAAGCUCGCGAUCUUCUCCGGUGUCCCCUUCGAUGACGGAAAUGCUUCGUUAUUUAUAGGCGAGGAGGUUCGGUCGACGGAGAGGCUCGGCCGCCGGUCUUUGGCUUGCCGACUGGACCCCCGUGGCCGAACCGGCGUCCCAUCCGCCACCUGUCCGCUAGCUGCACCCCCCCUUCUCACGCGCGUCGCCGUUCGUCCGCUCAUCCGGCAUCGCGCCCUCUGCGCGUGCGUUGCAGAGCGGACGAAGGAGGAAGAAGACCGAAAAGGGCUGGGCCGGAGGAGAAAGAAAGUGGGCCGUAGAGGCCCAUGCGGAGGGGGAAGAGAGGGAGAGAAUGAGCUGUUUUAUUUUUUGUUUUUUUUUUGUUUUAUUUGGUUUUUGUUGUUUUUGUUAUUUGUUUUGCCUAUUAUCCGAAAAAAGGAAAUAUAAAAGAAAUUAAGGCCUAAAUAAUAACCUAAUCAAAAUGUAGGUGUCAACAAGUGGCGAGCGGUGGUAGUAGUGUCUCCAGGCGACAAGAGAGAAGAAUAAAAAAAAAAUUGACUUAUUUCUAGAAAUUGUUCCCAAGAACAAAAGUAAUUUUUGUUUUUUGUUUCUCGUUUCUGCUCCAAAUCUAUUCAUGGGCUAACUUUUGAUUUACCAGAAUAGAAAAACAACUUGGCGUUAUCAAAUAGGUUUAUGUUAUUUUUUUGUUCCGGGGAGCAAAAGAACAGAAAUUGGGAGAAACAGAAUCAUUACCAUGCGCAGCCCUAGGCGUCCCUUGCAAACAUAUAAACUGUCUUUCCUUGGAUCAUUGCUCUUUCAUUUUUCUAACACUGCUUUUUCUCUCGUAUAUGCAGAAGUGUGGACAUGGCACUACUCAAUUUUUGCCCUUCAUGUGACUUUGAGGCUCUUUACUGGUAGAAGAUGGCAUGUUUUAUUCAUUAAUGAUCUAGAAACAAUCUACAAUUUCAACUUUUAAGAUUGAUUGGAAAUGAUUUUUAAUAAUUUUCUUUUUGUAUUUGACUGUAGAUUCUGGUGAACCCAUUGUCUGUGGCCUACAAUUUGCAAAGGCAUGACUUGUUGCUUUGAUUGGGGUAUGUUGAAGUUAAAUACUCUGUGCAGAUUAAAAAUGCAUGAAGUUACAUCCUGAUAAACGGUGGAAAAGAAAGUUACAGCUCAAAUUCCUUGUCUCUAGUUAGACAAUAGAUAAUAAUUAGUUUCAUGGUUGUCUGGAUGAAGUAUAGGUUUCUUUUGACAUGAAGUUUUUCUUGGGGUCAAGAGACUUUGCUUCAGCAAGAUUGUAUAUAAUCAAUCUCUAACUGAUCUCAUAGGCAUGGUGACUAAAGUCAAUUAGAAUCGGCAAUCUUUUGGCAUGUUUUUCAUUCUAUUCUAUAUCGGGUUUUGUUAUUGCAUUCUCUAGCUCUUUCGGGAAUUUUGUUACAGAGCAUGUUUAGGUUGUCCAUGCUAUGACAUAGAUGACAAUAUGUUCUUUAAUCAUCUUUCUGGUUUCCACUUAAUAUUCUCUUUCCCUGAUUGAGUUCUCUAGGUAAUCUCUUUUAUCCUUACUUUUUUUUACUAGUUCAUCUUUUUUUAACUAGUUCAUCUAUAAUUAAAGGCACCGGGACUACCAAGUACUCAAAUGUGAGUAUGCAGAAGAGGUUUGAACUUUUUUGGCCCCCCUACUAGUGCAGACAAAACGAGAGGAUAAAACAAAUUGCUUUUGCUAGGAAGAGCUUUACCAAAUUUAAGAAUCACAAUAACUUUGGCAAUCGAGGUUGGAGAUGAGUAUUUUAGGUCGUUUCAAAAGUAUGCAAAUCUCUACUAAGUUUCAUUCUUGUUGCUCUAAAUAUCUGAACCCACAAUGUUGUCUUUCUAGCUUAUUAGGUACAAAAUAAAAAAAUGAAAACAAUAAUAAACUAUAUAGCAGCUUGGAGGAGCGACAUAGAUGAACUCACAUUCAAUUUAUGAGGAGGCCUUGAUGUGCAUUUGGUCGUAUGACUAUCGCUAGACAUUUAAUCUGGCCUUCCUUGAAGAUUGAAGGAUUACUUCUAUCUGGCCUUCCUUGAAGAUCAAAGGAUUAGUCCAUCAUAUUGCUUCGAACAAUGUUUAGAAAGACUUCUUGGCAGUCGUGUAUAAGAUAUUGUGACAAAUAUUAUUGUGCUUUACCUAAUUAUUUUUAAGCUUGUUUAUCGUUCUGUCAAGAUACAAUUUUUGCUCUUCAUUGGGUUUAGUUUAUUAAGCUAGAGCACUAUUGGACAUGGAUUUUAUUCCAUAUAUGCUUUGACAAGCACCGUUUAAAGCACUUAGUUGACUUUGCCCUAUAUGAUAUUUGUUCAAAAAAAGGCAAUUUGCAGCCAUAUAUCGGGAAUGAAUGGACAAGUGAUUCUUGAUCACCAGCAUAUGAAACACAACAGGAGCGACUUUUUUCUUUUCCUUGACAAAACAUCAACUCCCUCAACUGAUUCCAUAAUCUACACCAUAGUAAAACUUGGUAGAUUAAUGUUGCUUGAACAAUCUAAAUUAAACCGAUUGUUUGCUGAACUAGAAGGCAAUAAACAAAAUACAAUUUCAUUUGAACUGAACUACAAAGAAACUGUCUAUGGAAAUAAAAGUUUAAUCAUAUCAUUUCUAACGGGAGAGCUCUUCGGCGGUUGCCAACUACGGCAAUUUUUGAAUUGGCAGAUAGAGAGAGCGAGGGGAGAGAGAGAGGGGCAGUUCGUCGGAUAGAGAGAGCGAGGGGAGAGAGAGAGGCGUGAAGAAAGAAAACCACGACCAAAAUUUUUCGAAUUGGCACCUCUUUUUCUUUUCAGAAUGUGGGUCCCAUGAGAACACGUGUUGCGCUCUCACCGUCGUCUUGUUUGUCAGGUUGGAGCAUGAGACGUAUCUAAUAUUUUCUCGGGAUGACCCUCGUGACAGGCACGGGCUGUAUUGAUUCUAGAUAUUAAUUUCUUGAGGUUGGGAUAAGGUACGGAUGCAAACUGGGAUAGGAAUUUGAAAACCUGAUCGAAUUGGACUGAACGGAACCGUACCUUCUCUCGCUUUUUUUCAUUUCGUUUUGGGCAUGGUUGGCGGAUCGAGGUAUGAACGGUAAAUUUGAAUCUCAAGUUCAAAAAUCGUGACUCGAGAGCCGAAUCGCAUUUAAUACAUUCUAGCCAUAUAUCCGAGCUUAGAAUUGCAAAAUUAGGAGCUCUUGGUGAGCUCUGUUUUCGAGAGUAAAAUAUAUUGGAUUUCAAGUACAUCUCAUGAGCAUGACAUGAGAUAUUGCAGCAUGUUAUUUGUCUUAAAAGAUUCCAAAUUUAAAUGUACAAAGAGAAGUUUAUGUGCCGAUUGAGGUAUGAUUGUGUUUUGCUUUUUUUAUUAUUGUGAAAAUGUCGUUAACCUGGUAUACAACAUGAUUUAGGAUAAGAACAACACCCUUUGAUCGAUAGAAUGUAAUGACCUAUAAAUUGAUAAAAUCACUAGAUGCGUGGCGGAUCAAUAGAUUCAAUGAUAAACUUGUUUAAGAAGAAAAACAUCACGAGUAAUAAAGUAUGAAAUGAGAAACGAUGGACAUUGAUGAUUAUGGGUUCAGUAGUUUUUCAUUUCAAGCAUACCACCAAAAUGGAUUUCAAACCCAUUUAUUACCGAAAAGUUGUUGAAACUUGCACCUCAAAUUUGAGGUGUCUAGCCAUAAUGAGCUAUAAGAUAAAAAGCCUAAAAUACUUUUGCUAAAUUUUUUAUUAAAUUAUAUAUAUUAUCUAGCUACUAGUGGCCAUUUUGGCCAACCUUCAAUGGUUGGAUUUGGCCACUAGAUAGCCUUGCCUAAGGUCACGUGACUCAGGUCGUUGUAAACCUAGUCGAUGCUUGAGGUCGCAUGACCUCAGGCGUUAGUUGCCAAGUGGUCAGGUGACCCCUUAAGUAGCGGUCGUUGGCGUAAGCGACCCCUUGGCCGGCAGUUGUUAGCCUUCAUUCGUUUCUCUAGAGAAGAUGAAUAGUACCCGUGAACAGUAUGGGCUUGCAUGCCAAAGAUGUAAUUUCCUAAAGGACUUCCAGAGUUAUUUUGGGCCAAAAAGCCCUUAGAGCCAUUUUGAGAUACAAUUGCAUUUUGCCAAAGUCCUUCCAAAAAUUGAGCUAAACAAGUUUGCAUUUGGCCAAACCCCCCUUGGAGCCCAAAAGCCUAUUUCAAAUGCUGAACUAAACAGUGUCUAAAUGGGCAAUGCUAUAAACCCAUUUCUAACCCAUAUGAUAAAUAGGGCCAUUGACUCACUUAAAAUACACCAUAUAUCGAUUUAUUCAACUUAAACUUUUGAAAUAGUUGGUGGCGGUCCCAUAAAAUUUCAUAUGGUAUUAGAGCCCAAUUUCGCAACAAAUCUAGACGCAAUAUUUACAUGGGAGGUACAGGUUGUAGCCGCUCUGACUUAUGACCUGAUAUAUGAGGGGUAAUCGUUAGAGUUUAUGGGAUUAGUGGUUAGUUUAUAAGUUUGAGGAAAAUUCUUAUUGUGUGAAUUAGCUUUUAGGGUAAGAGAAGACUAAGAUGGAAAUUGAUGCGGUGCAUCCAAGAAAAUUAGGGAAAUUUUUAAAAUACCUUUGUAGAGGGAUGGCAUUUUCAAAUUACUCAUAUACAUAUAUUUGUUCUCAAUUUGUCACUUGAAUGGAAUUGAAAUAUUAUGAAGUGCCCAAAUAUUGAUUGGGUGCUUCAAAGGUGCAAGUGAAUUUCACACGCUCCACACACGCGACAUUUUGCGCUUAAAUAAGUCGGAAUCUGUUUCAUAAUUUAUGGACGAUCAGAAAGUCAUUUAUAUUUAAUUCAAAACCAAAACUGGAAUCUAUUUUCAUGAUUUAUGGAUGACCUGAGUGAACUUUCGCCACCACCUUCAUGUCCCGUCCAUAACCAAAACUUGAGUUGCCUCACUAACUUGACGGGCCGGUCCUGAAGUCAUCAUUUAUUUAAUGCAACAAUUAAAUGAGAAAAAAAUGUUAAAAUUGAAUCCCAGGUGGGGUGGUGUAUGUGUAAAAUAUGGGUUGCUGAUUUGCUUUGUAUAUAAACGGGUCAAACAGGAUCAAUGAGUGAAUUUGGUCAUAUCAUUUUCGACUCGACUUAACUUACCUUUUGAGAUGCCUAGCUUCGAGUCAAAGAGACAAUAUUCUUAUCAAGUGAAAUACAUUCAAAAUGUUUAUCAUAUAGACUUCAUGAAUAAUAUGCACUUCAACAAUUUCCAUAAGUCUAAUUGGACCAACUUAUACUUCUUACUCUUUUCUUAAUCAAAAAACUCGCGGCUCAUGCGCUCUAACAUUUUAUAAAUCCAACAAACACAUAACUUUGACCAAAUACAAAUAAUAUUUUUUUUUUCCAAAUUCAAAUGCUAAAUACAAACGGAAAAAAAUGACUUUUUUUUACUUAUUCCGUAUCUUGAACACAUCGAAAACAAGUUAAUACCCGGAAAAAUACUAAACUGAUACACAUGUGAUAAAUUUAUCAUAAAUUAAUUUUUUGGCUACCAAAAAUCCCAAAUGGGUACAUCUUUCUCAAACUAGUAUACUUAUAACAAAUUUACUUUAUUCAUUAAAUUUCACCUUCAAAUUAUUAAUUUUGAUAACAUGUGUCACUUAACUAAUGUACCGGUUUAAGAUUUUACUCUUCGUAUGUUACAGUUGUUUAAUUUUUGUGAUUUCUUGUGAUAUUAAUCUAAUUUAAUAAAUGUAUCAUUUUGAGGUUUUUGGAAGUUGAACAAAUUAAUUUAGAGUAAAUUUGUUACAAGUGCAUAAGUUUAAAGUUUUUUGUGAUCAUUUAGGGUACAUUUACCAUAUACAUAUUAGUUUGAGAUUUUUUUUUGAUUAAAACAUUAAUUUGAGAUAAAUUUAUUAUAGGUAUAUUAAUUUGAAAUUAUUCAGGAAAACUAUUAUACUUUCGCAAGACACGUUAAUAUUUCCAGACCUCAUACUUAUCCGCAUGUUUUUUUUUUCAUUUAUCUAUAAAAACCGUGCGUGGAAAAAUCAUUUCCUGGUUCCCUUCACCUAGUCAUGACAAAAAAAGAAGAGGGAAGAAUCUUCAUUCGCCUCUCUCUCUCUCUCUCUCUCUCUCUCUAGCUUUCUUACUUCCAUUGGUCUACGUCAACCGUCGAUCCACACAUCCUAUAAAUGGCCAUUCGUCUUGUUCGUCCCCACUUUAUCCCCUCUCUCUCCCCGACGAUUUUCUCCAUCUCAAUCGCCAUCGCCAUCGCCAUCGCCAUCGCCAUCUGCUCGCCUCGCGAUCCUUCAGGCACCGACCUCCAUCCUCCUCCGCCGCCGCCGCCGCCGCCGCCGCCGCCGCCGCCUCCGGCUCCUCGCUUCUGCGGCUCCUCUCCAGCGUCGCCCUGGGCUCCGGCCUCGGGAUCGCGUACUGGCACUGCGCUCCCGAGCGCGACGGCGGCGGCGACGGCGAUGGCUUGAAGCCGUUCGUGGCCUUCGCCGACUCGGCGGCGGCGGCGGCGGCGGCGCCCCCCGCGGCUGAAUCCGCGGUCGGCGAUUGCGGGUCGCCCCGCGCGCUGUUCCGGAAAUUGUCUCUGCCUGAUUACAGCCCCAAGUAUCUUUUUGGAGGUACGCGUUUCGUUAACCGUUGGGCGUCCGGUAGCUUAUCCUCGCGGUUUGAGUGGAACUGGUAACGUAUUGAGCGUAACGGUUGAAUUCAGUCCCCGGUUAGCUGAAUUGAACCGAUUGAUUCAGCUAAGGCUAGUUAUGUUUUUAGCUUCAUCGAUCUUCAGGCGCAAGAUUAUUUCCGUCAUUCAUCUGAUUACGCGCCAGGCUUGUAUAUCUAAUUCCCUUCAUCAACCCGGUUUAAUAAUUAGGAGGAAUUGUAGAACAUGUUAGCUCCUUCCUCGACCUUUGAGCUUGGAAAUUUGAUCCGUAACUUUAAAUUUUGCACCUGCAAUCUUCAUGUCCCUAAUGCAGUUCAUGUAUUGAUCGUGCGGCUUCUUGUUUAAAUCUGUGGUACAGAUGCGUAUAGGAGGAAGGUCUUCUUCAACUAUGAGAAGCGAAUUCGGCUGCGAAGUCCUCCUGAGAAGGUGAUGCUUCUCUGUUGAUUAUGUACAUUUUCAUUGGUCGUGCUAUAAUCUUUCUAAAUCCAACUUUUUUUUUUUAUUUUAAAGCUUUGAGUGCAUAAUUACUCUAUGGCACUUUUUUUGUAACUGCUAAGAGAAGAGAACGCUGGUUAUGGACACAGUUAUGUGUUUCUUUUGAGCUGAAUUUAAUGGGCAUGCUCUGCUUAUUUAUUUAUUUAUUUAUUUAUUUGUUUAUUUAUAGCUCUUUUGGGCAACUAUAGUUAUUUGGUUUUCAUGAGAUAUUUUCUUGGAUCAUCUAGAUAGGCAUGGUAGGUUUUAUGAAAGCCUAGUCUUGACUAAGAUAUGUACUACGAAGUGGACAUUACCAAAGUCAUUUAUGCUGUUUGGCGUUCAUGAAAGUGUUUUUCCAGCUGUGUAAUAUCUUCUGAUAAGAUCUCCAUUACUAGAAACUGAAUUUAUUGUUGAUGAUUAUUUGCUGCUGAUCCUUUUUUUUUUUUUUUUUUGGUUUUUAUUUUUAUGAUAACGUGGAAGUAACUUAUGUAGGAAACCAUGACCCAUCAAACAUAUGCAUCACGUAAGAUGUGAAGCUUAGAUGGUCAGUCACUGAUGGCCCGACGAUUGGAUUGUUCGUGGUGUAGGGAAUCGAACAUCUGUCGUGUACUUAAUCUACACACAAAAGUCAGUUCCUCUUGGGUUAGUCCAGACUGUAAUCACUGUGAACUAUAGGAUUGUGUUUAUUUAGUCACUUUGGGAUGAGUGCUUCUUGAAAUUUUGAGAACCUAGUUGAUUAGUUGAGGGCAUGUGUUUAUAACAUUUGGCUGAUGUUAGCUAUCUAGAUAAAUGUUCUUAUGUCAUGUAGGCCUUAUUUUGACAAUCUGCUUGUGCUUGUUGUGCUUCUUUACACAUUCUGUCACGGGCUUUUAUUUCACUUGUAGGCAUUUAAGAUCUGUCAGUAUUCUAAUGAUUGUUAAGACACUAAGUCGCAAAUAAAAGAAGAAACUGUCGGAUUCUAUUGAAGAUAAAGGCUACAGAACCAUCUAGCUGAACAUACAUGGUAUGAGGCGUAGCCUUAUGGCUAUUUAAAUUUUUAAUGCAUGAAAAACUAAUGACUGCAUCAGGAGAGCCAGGAUUUACCUUAGCUGAGAAAUUUGUUUUAAUGCGUAGAAAAGUUAUGCUAUUCGCGGGUUGAUUAGAUUGAAAUGGGAAAACAAUUGCUGCUUGCACAUGAUUUUACCAUCUUCCUUAUUUUCGUCUCAUACUGCAGUAUUAUGGCUUGACUCAUAGCAGUUAUGUCAUCUUGGUUUCCUUUUAUUGCUUUUCGGUGAUAUGAAAUGAAAUCAAUUUUAGCAUCCUAAUGCUUGAUCCAAGUUUAUCAAAUGGGUCUUAUUAACAACUGUCCUCCGGGGACUUGUUAGACAUAGUAGAAUGGGCAGAACAUAAGGACAGACAGUGCAUUGGAAACUGUGAAGUUUCCUUAAUUGGUUGCUGGGGGCACUUUUAUCAAAAUCCUCGUCAAAUUGCUAAAUUUGUAGCUUUUCGCUACCAUUUAUGGCCUUGAUCUUAUAGUUUGGAGGAUAGGGCUGAUAAAUUCUUUAGGUUUGGGGUCUUGAAAGCUGUCACUAGUCUAUGCAUAUAAUACCUAUAUACAGUUUCAGAGCUUAUGCUUAAAUAUCAUUGUCAAGGGAUGUUGAUUUGACAAUUAACAUGUGCUGACCUUUCUUAUGUAGGUUUUUGAAUAUUUUGCGUCUUUCCGAACCCCAGAAGGAGAAAUACUCAUGAAACCAGCAGAUUUGAUGCGUGCAAUUGUUCCUGUUUUCCCUCCUUCUGAAUCCCACCUGGUUCGAGAUGGGUAUUUGAUAGGAGAGAGGAAUCCUGGGGAGCUACGAUGUGCUCCAUCGAACUUCUUUAUGCUUUUUGAUAUGAACAAUGAUGGACUCAUAUCGUUCAAAGAGUGAGUUGCCCCACUUAAGUUGACGUUUUCCAUUAUAUCUUAUUUGCUUUCAGGAAUAUAAUAUUGUUCCAUGUAUUUUUACCAGAUAUAUAUUUUUUGUAACACUACUCAGUAUCCCAGAAUCGAGCUUCUCAGUCGCAUUCAAAAUGUUUGACACCGACAAUAGUGGGUUUGUAUACGGGAUCCUUUUCUUUCCUGUGCCUAUUCUCAAAAGUCAGUUGCUUGUCAAGAUUAAGUUUUCACUGCUUCUACUUUCCGGAUGCAGACUCAGAAAUAUGUUGGAUUAUUCAGUCAAGUCGUUUCUCAACUCUCUGGACAUAUUUGUUCAUAUUCAUAAUUUCAUAAUUUAAUGCUUAGAUACUGCUGUAGGUUAUUCCCUAAUCUGCAGCUACGAUAUUUAAACUCUGGAAAUUUGUGGUGCGACUGCUUUCAUGUGUUGCUUUAAAUUGUUAAUAAACUCCCUUAUUUUCCAUUGCCUAUCUUUCUAUAAGUUUCUUGUUGUUGGUUCUAUCAACUGCUGGUAACUUUAUCAUUCCAUAGGGAGAUAGACAAGCGAGAAUUUAAGAAAGUGAUGUCUCUCAUGCGGGCUCACAACAGACAAGGGGCACACCACAGGGAUGGGCGUCGAACUGGAUUAAAAGUUAGCGGUUCUGUGGAAGAUGGUGGCCUGGUUGAGUACUUCUUUGGCAAAGAUGGGAAGGCACGUCUUCAGCAUGAUAAAUUUGUCCAGUUCAUGAGAGAUUUACAAGUUGAGGUAACUUAGCACUCCCAAUAUUCUCAACAUGUUGCAGGUCACCUCUCUGUGGACACUCAGAUUCUGAUACUUGAAUUGUUAUCAAGCUUUCUUCUUCACUAAAUUAAUCUUGAAUUGAGGAACUUUUGUUAUUUUUGAUAUAUGCUUUGGUUCUCUUGUCCCUUAUAAUUAGCUCAUCUCAUGUAAUGCCUUACAUUUUUACCGCCAGAAGUCAAGGUUGUAAAGUGGCCUAGAUAGAAUGUUUCUGCUUGUUGAUCUUUGUUCUUUUUCUAAUUGCAAGUUUAAUACCAUAAUCUUAAUAAUAGCAUGUAGAGCACAUCUUUUGAUACAUAAGCCUAACAAGACCAUUCAAUUGUUUAUCUCUGCAUUCACUAUCCUUGGUUAGAUUUUUUUUUUUUUUUUUUUGGUAAAAACCUUGGUUAAAUUUUUGUAUCACAUUAUUGGUUUUUUGUAGGGAGGUGACCUUGAUCCUCUCUCUCUCUCUCUCUCUCUACACUUUAGGUUAAAUUGAACCUACUUAUAUCAGAAGUAAACUAGCUGAUUUUCUUUUGCCUAUUUUCACUUUGGUUUACAUUAUCUAAUAUGAGCAAUCUCUCUCCAUCUCACAGAUGCUUAAUUUGGAGUUCUCUCAUUAUGACUACAAACAAAAUGGAACUAUAUCUGCUAAAGAUUUCGCAUUGUCCAUGGUUGCUUCUGCUGACAUGAACCAUUUGCACCGUUUGCUGGACCGAGUUGAUCAAUUAGACAAAGAACCACAUCUUACAAAUGUGCGUAUUUCACUAGAGGAGUUUAAGAACUUUGCAGAGCUACGCAAAAAAUUGCAGCCAUUUUCCUUGGCCCUUUUCAGUUACGGAAGAGUAAAUGGUUUACUCACUAGAAAAGACUUUCAGCGAGCUGCAUCUCGGGUAAGACAUCUGUCUCUUCUCCAUACAUUAACAAACAAUUGUUCUGCCUAUGUUUUUAUUAUGGUAUGACUGGAUAUGAUAACAAUAGAUAGAUGUUUGCAUCUUAAAAGCCUGUUAAGCUAUAUUUCUAUUUUGCAUGGAAGUUUCUUUUGCUGUGUAAUUUUAGCUUUCAGGACUAGCAGGGGCUGUGGCUUGUAGCACAUUGGCAGAUAUCACGGCUUUAACUUUUAACAUGAAGAUGGCGCAUGCAAUUUGAUGGAAAUUGUUUUGGUUACAAACAUGAAUUGACAUUCUUACCAAAUAGCACUGAGAGAAGCAAUUUGAUUUCAUCGUUGUUGUUGCACUAUGUGAUUCUGCAAUUUCAUAGUGCAAAGCUUCAGAUUUUCCAUGGAAAUGGUUAAUGAAUGCUUGCUUCUCUUACUCCACAUGACUCCUUUUGUUGUAACUAUCUGCAAUGAAUCCUUUCUCAAAUUGUUUGGUGGGAAUUUUGACUUAAAAUCAGGUCUGUGGUGUCUCACUUACGGAUAAUGUUGUGGAGCUCAUUUUCCACGUGUUCGACUUAAAUCAGGAUGGGAAUUUAAGUGCGGAGGAAUUUGUUAGGGUUCUUCGCAGACGAGAAAAAGACAUUGCAAUGCCAGAGGGCGAUGGUCUCAUGGGAUUGCUUUCUUGUUAUCACAAUUGUGGAAACAAGUACACUAUCAAUUGCUUGCUUUCUUGAGUCUUAUCUCAGGUGCAAGGUCCCAUAUAUAAUCUUCUGUGACGACUUAUCUGUAUGGUUGGUUGCUGGAAGCGUUGGUGAUAUUUAGUGACCCCAUGACUCUUUUCAGAGUAGAGAUGAAUCUCGAACUGCUUAGCGACUCCAGUGAUCUGAUGCUGAAGAGUGUCGCGUAGCAGCCAGGUACUCAUGAAGGCAAGCAAUAGCAUCACAUUCUGGAUCCAUUUGGCAUGUCGAAAAUAGGAGAACUGAGGUUCUCACAGGCACUAGUCAAUGUUAGGUUGAUGACAGCCGGUGCGUUUUCCCUGGCUUAUAACAGGGAACCGGUACGGUUUACUGUGAAUGUACAAAAAAUAAUCGAGUAUAGCUUUAGACAUUACAUGGAUUGUUGAAAUAGAUAAGGUCCUGUGAACUGUCAUCUUUUAUAUACGCCUCUUUUCUCUUGGCCUGAUCGGAGAAUUCUUCUUCCUUUCUGGUGAUGCAAGCAUUGGUGAACUUGUGCUAAGAUUUUUGCUUUAGUAGAGGGAUUUUGUUGGCAAGGGUUUUGAAGGUACUUGUUAGGUUAAAUAAAAAAGGAACUAACACUUUCUAAGACAUUGGAAAUAGAAGAGUUAAACACGUUUUAGUAAUAUCAUUUAUUUCAUACCAGUAACUUUUAAAUCCCCAAAUAAUGUUUAAUUAGGUUUAACAGACGUUCAAGGGGCACUCUUUAAAAUUAGACAUGCUAUGGAAUGGUUUGUUGUCCACAUUUGAUCUCUCGUUUUUGCCGUGGUGAUAUCUCACUACUUUUGAUAACUUCUUUAUGGAGCCAUCAGGCAUGUGAGCUCUAACUGUUGGAGAAUCUAGGAAUCAAUACUGGGAGUGUGACUGAGUUCAGUUGUGAGUGGUUCGGGCUUGAUUCGAUGACCCUUGAGAUUGACUCUUUUAAUUUUGAGUCGAGCAAUUAGGGUCUAUCAUGUGAGCUUGCAAUGCUAAACUUGAUAUGCGAGACUAAUUGAGUUUCUUUUUGAUGCAAUCAAGUCGAAUUUGGACAUGGCAUGUAUUAACUCGACUCGUCUAUCGAACUUUUAGUCAAAGGACCUGGUCUCGAAGAGCAAGUAGACUCUAAUUCCUUAAAAAAUCCCUCACAUGGCAUUGACUUUUGACUUGCCGAUCGCGGAUGACUCCUUUGGCACAUUGGAAAGGACUGGACAAGAAGCGGUCCAAAUCAAUUACAUAUCAUGUUGCAUCCAAAGCAAAUCGAUUCGCAGGACACGUCGAACCCAUGUAGUUGGGCGGUCAAUUCCACCCUCCUAGAUCAGGGAGCUGCUAAAUAAAAAAGCUCAAUUAGCCCUAAUGAUUUCAUCCCAUCCCCCCCCCCCCCCCCCCCCCCUUUCCCCUUCACUUCGCAUAACAUUGUCCCCCACUUACAGCUAAUUUUCUACUUAAAUCAUCUUUUUUUUUUUACAUUUCUUGUGGGGUUUUUUUUUAAAUUCCUGGUGGCCCCGACAUGCCAUAUAGAAGGAUGCGUGUACAUAAUAAAUAUGUAAUUAUUAGCAAAAGAGAAUAUAAAGAAGCGGGGUUUCCUCAAUUCAAUGAUUGAAGGCAACGGUGGCCAGAAAAAUGUGGUGUAGGGAAAGCCGAAGAUGCCAGCCCAUUCCAGAAAACAAUCACUUCAAUUCGUUCCUAAAUUAUCGAUUUUCUUUCCCCCUUUUUUUGGCUCGAGUUCUUUCCCCGUGGAAAUAAGGGAAAACGAUAAUUAUCAAGAUAUUCUACCACCUAAGACAUCAUGACCCGAACUAAUCAAAUUGCGAUCAAUUAAAGGACAAAAAAGAGGGAAAAAAGAAAAGAAAAUCAAGGGAGAGUUGAUGGAGAAGGCAAAUAAAAUAAAGUGAAAAUAAUAUAAAUAAUCAUUUGAAAUUGAUUGAAAGUACAUUUUUUAAAAUUUUUUUAAAAAUUUAUUUAAUACGAUUCUUGGACUUUAACAUAAUGUACAAUGCUUGUUUAACGUAGCUCAUAAAUUUUUCGUAUAUAUUUGAUUUAAUCCUAAUUAUAUGUUGUUUCUAAAAUUAAAUUAGUGGAUGGAUAAUAGUUUAAAAAUUUGGUGAUUUAUAUUGAACAAAUUAAAAUUUUAGGGACGAUUUUAUAUAUUAAAUUAAAAUUAAGGGAUAAUAUUAAAUAAAAAAUUAUCCAUCGAGUUAAAAUUCAGAAAUUAUUUAUGUUAUUACCUUUAAAUUAAGCCGAGACAUCCUCCGCGGAAUAUGCUCGUCUAUACUUGGGACUCGGACCAUUUUCUUAUAUUUGUCACUUUUAAGUGUGCUGUAUACGCGGGGCAAAAGAAAAAGAUAAACAAUAGUGGUUCAGGUCUCCGCCUUUCCAGCGAAAUCGAGUGCCCCACCUCACGAUCCCAUGCCGGUCGUGCACUACACGCUCCAUUUUUCAAUUUCGUAGACUAUUAGUGGAAGAAUAAAAUGGGUAAGUUCCUACUAUGUUAAAUGAUGCUAAUUUUAAGUACUAAUAGAACAGUAAAGCGGGUGACGCGCGAAUCCCGUUGCCUGAGCUAGGUUCCGUGCACUAGCAGCAACUUACCACCUUCGGGCUGAUUGGGUUACAUACAUGGAUGAGUGCUACUACAAUGCCAACUGACGUAAUUAUUAAAAGGUCGUUAAUUGAGUUGAGAAUUAAAUGCUGGAUUUUGAUUACAGUGCGAAGGGAAAGUCAAUAGAUCUUCUUGUUUACAUUAUGGGUUCUCAAAUGAUUAAUGUGCAUGUAAAUCCUGACUCUUAAAAUGAUCUCGAGAAAAUACACGGCAUGGAUUGAACCUUAGUAGGUUAAUAUUGUAAAAAAAUUUAAAUUAUUAUAUUUAUAAUAAAUUUUUGCAAAAUAAUUUUUUGAGCAUUUAAAAACCCAAUGAUUAAGGGGUGUACUGAUGAUUUUAUAAAGGAUAAAUAUGUUACGGGUAUAUUAAUUUACUGUUGAAUUUGAGGUAAAAUAAUUAUAGAUAUUUUAAUUUAAGAUUUUUCAUGGUAUGAAUACGAUGCAUGAAGUCAUGAUGUUAUCACCUCCCUGAAAUGCCGACGGCCAUUCUACCAAUCAUGGAAGCUGGCGGCUACGCGCUGCGAUGGAAGGUGGGGGCCAGUACGCUAAUGAUGAGCGAUGAUCCCCUUCCCAAGUUGACCUCUCCUCCUCCUCCUC
rnacentral:lncRNA from 1 species